rnacentral:rRNA from 1 species
CCUACGGGGGGCUGCAGUGAGGAAUCUUGCGCAAUGGGGGAAACCCUGACGCAGCAACGCCGCGUGAGUGAGGAAGGUCUUCGGAUCGUAAAGCUCUGUCGGGUGGAAAGAAAUGUAUGGGGUUAAUAGCCUUCAUACUUGACGGUACCACCAAAGGAAGCACCGGCUAACUCCGUGCCAGCAGCCGCGGUAAUACGGGGGGUGCAAGCGGUGUUCGGAAUGAUUGUGGGUAAAGAGGUUGUAGGGAUGUGAAAGCCCUGGGCUUAACCCAGGAAGUGCAUUUGAAACUGCCAGGCUUGAGUAGGGGAGAGGGAAGUGGAAUUCCUGGUGUAGAGGUGAAAUUCGUAGAUAUCAGGAGGAACACCGGUGGCGAAGGCGACUUCCUGGCCCUAUACUGACGCUGAGACGCGAGAGCGUGGGUAGCAAACAGGAUUAGAUACCCCUGUAGUC